CCUACGGGUGGCAGCAGUGAGGAAUAUUGGUCAAGGGGCGCUAGCCUGAACCAGCCAAGUAGCGUGAAGGAUGACUGCCCUAUGGGUUGUAAACUUCUUUUAUAGGGGAAUAAAGUGCAGUACGUAUACGGCUUUGCAUGUACCUUAUGAAUAAGGAUCGGCUAACUCCGUGCCAGCAGCCGCGGUAAUACGGAGGAGCCGAGCGUUAUCCGGAUUUAUUGGGGUUAAAGGGAGCGUAGGCGGGUUGUUAAGUCAGUUGUGAAAGUUUGCGGCUCAACCGUAAAAUUGCCGUUGAUACUGGCAUCCUUGAGUACAGUAGAGGUAGGCGGAAUUCGUGGUGUAGCGG
rnacentral:rRNA from 1 species